GCCGCUGCGAUCUUCUUCUCCGUACCAAGAAGGUAAUCGAGAUAUUUUUUCGCCGUCUCUGUCGAUUGGACUCGGGCGACACGGGCAAUGAACACUGAUUUCUUCUCCGUCAUGGGUUCUGAAACGACCCAGUCUGGGGGACUCUCGAGACCAAAUGACGCAUGUAAUGAUGGUGGCGAAGAAGUUGUAUCUACUGUUGGAGAUACUGGAGUAGAGGUGUCCGCAGUUUCGUCGCCAGCAGCAGCAGCGGCGGCGGAUUCCUCAAGCUCUCCCCCUCGCAUAUCUCCGAACCGCUCCACGCAUUCCUCUAUAAGAUCAUAAAGACAGACGAAGCCAUCUUGCCACACUUUCUGCACUGAGCCACUCAAUACAUCGAGACAUUUUUUCCCUUCGCCCCGAGAACUGGUGGACGCAGUGCCAAUGACUCGGGGAGGACUAGAGGGGUAUUUGCUGUCGAAACCAAGAAGGAACGAGAAAUCUGGCCGAUUGGGUAUCCGGAGGAUUAUUGUGGUUGUGACUGGUAGCUCAUUCGGCCGACGGGGAGGGGAAUUGGACGGGUUUGAUGUCAACGUUAUUGUGGAAGGGUCGUAUAUUGCAUUGACGGAAUUGAUCUCUUCAGCGAGCUCAUCGUUCGGGCACGAGGUCAUGGUUGUGGAUGUUUCAUUGAGGAUAUGCAAAUGGCCAUUCGGUGGAGAGAAGGAUCGGGACGAGUAUUCAAGGACAGACUGCGUUUGAACCAGGCUUCCAGCUUCUCGCAGGGUCACGAUAGCAUGCCGAAUAUUCAUCCAUGUAUUACCGUCCCGUCACAUGGCGAUAUUGUUGAUGCGGUGGUUUAUUCGAUUCCAAAAUUCUUGCGGAUAAACAUUUUAGCGGGGUUGGGUGUGGCUGCAACAAUGAAACUAGAUGUUGAGCG
rnacentral:sRNA from 1 species